GUGGAUUAGAUACCCUAGUAGUCCACGCAGUAAACGGUGAACACUAGGUGUAGCGGGUAUUGACCCCCGCUGUGCCGAAGCUAACGCAUUAAGUGUUCCGCCUGGGAAGUACGGCCGCAAGGUUAAAACUCAAAGGAAUUGACGGGGGCCCGCACAAGCGGUGGAGCAUGUGGUUUAAUUCGACGCAACGCGAAGAACCUUACCUGGGCUUGACAUCCCGGGAAUCUUCUAGAAAUAGAAGAGUGCCCUUCGGGGAACCCGGAGACAGGUGCUGCACGGCCGUCGCCAACU
rnacentral:rRNA from 1 species